UGGGGAAUAUUGGACAAUGGGCGCAAGCCUGAUCCAGCAAUGCCGCGUGUGUGAAGAAGGCCUUCGGGUUGUAAAGCACUUUUAUCAGGAGCGAAACGCUGUCGGCUAAUACCCGGCGGAACUGACGGUACCUGAGGAAUAAGCACCGGCUAACUUCGUGCCAGCAGCCGCGGUAAUACGAAGGGUGCAAGCGUUAAUCGGAAUUACUGGGCGUAAAGCGUGCGUAGGCGGUUUCUUAAGUCUGCUGUGAAAUCCCCGGGCUCAACCUGGGAAUGGCAGUGGAUACUGGGAGGCUAGAGUGUGUCAGAGGGUGGUGGAAUUCCCGGUGUAGCGGUGAAAUGCGUAGAGAUCGGGAGGAACAUCAGUGGCGAAGGCGGCCACCUGGGACAACACUGACGCUGAGGCACGAAAGCGUGGGGAGCAAACAGGAUUAGAUACCCUGGUAGUCCACGCCCUAAACGAUGCGAACUGGAUGUUGGUCUCAACUCGGAGAUCAGUGUCGAAGCUAACGCGUUAAGUUCGCCGCCUGGGGAGUACGGUCGCAAGACUGGAAACUUAAAGGAAUUGACGGGGUCAUAGCUGUUUCCUG
rnacentral:rRNA from 1 species